UCUAUACUACAAAGUUUUGCCUGCUUAGCUAGCCAUUUAGAGGUGUGACAUGCCUGAGUCAACAUAGCUAUGCUGGGAAAAACCCCAGUGUAGAAACAGCUGUGACAGCAAAAGAGGGCUCCUGCCAGCUAAACUUUUCUUGCUGGGGACAUGGUGCAGUUAGGCAAACAGGGGGGGAAAAAAGCCUUUUUUUGCCAUUUGCCUCCACUAAGAGGGGCUCUGCUACCAAACCUGUCCCACAGCACCUAUGGUGGCACCAGCCAUGAAAUGUAGACAGCUUCUAAGAUGAGAAACCCAGAGUUCCUGGCUCCAGUACCAAGUCAAAUAGAUCCUUGUGGACAUGGUGAUGCAACUGAGACAGGUCAACCCAGACACUGAUGAAUCUACAUUUUUAAAAGGAGAGACCUGUAGCAAGAAAAAACACCUGGCUAUUCAGUGAAGCUCCCUGGCCCUGUGGCUGCUCAAAAGAAAGGAAAAUGGCUCUUGUCACUUUUAAUGCUACUAUCAGCCACAAAUUGGACAAUAAUAUCAGUUACAUUGAGUAGCUAAAGGAAGCUCCCAUGAUCCUCACCUCCAGAACAGACCUCUCAGGGGCUUACUCUGGCCUGGACAACUACAGCUUUUCUAGAUCCACAGCUCUGGAGCAGCCUUGUGCUAUGACGUUCCUUCCCCUUCCUUCCAGGUCAGCCGCUAGCUCCCCUCCGAAGUCCUUCCCUGAGAGAGCCCUGCCUUGGAUUCAAGGAUUCCAAGAAAACUUCUUCAGACCUGAGAUAUUUUACCAGCUCAAGAAACUAGCAUGUUCCAAUUAGUCCCUUUUUUGGCAAAAUACUUUACUAGAUCUGCCUCUAUUCUCAUCAAACUUUGAUCCUUUCCAGAAAGACACCAAGUAUCCUUUUACUUGCUAUGAUGUCUACAGGAAAUCAGUCAGAUAUACAUCUCUCCCUUAAUCUUUCUUGUGGAAGUAAUCAGCUUCCAGACCAGGCUGGAUAUGCUUCAAGAAGAAACUUUUGAUAUUUUUAUUUCAGCUUUUGAUAUUUUUAUUUCUGCAAACUUAAUAUGUAUGAAUAUUUCUGAAAAGAUUCUAGGGGCUGUUAUUCUAUUCAAGCCGGUUUUCUUAUUACGUAGGUGGGUGAGGUUUAAACUUAAUAAUAAACUAAUAAUUAUGUAAAAAUAAUGUUUAAUAAGUAUGUAAUAAUCAUGUUUAAUAAUAAACUAAUAAACUUAAUAAUAAUCUAAUAAAUAUGUGCACAAUAAUGACAAAAUAAAUCCUCUAUAUGCCUCUAUAGAUAUUUGUCCUCUAAACCAACUUUGUUUUUCUCCUAUAAGUUUGGCAACUUUGAGUCAAUUUUGUGACUAGUCUUUCUGACAUUUUCCUUUUUAGACAUCCUAACCUUGGUGCUUUUUUAUUUUACUAGACAACUUAAUGUUUUUUUCAGUUGCAGAAC